rnacentral:rRNA from 1 species
UACGUAGGGUGCGAGCGUUGUCCGGAAUUAUUGGGCGUAAAGAGCUUGUAGGCGGUUUGUCGCGUCUGCCGUGAAAAUUCGAGGCUCAACCUCGAACUUGCGGUGGGUACGGGCAGACUAGAGUGUGGUAGGGGAGACUGGAAUUCCUGGUGUAGCGGUGAGAUGCGCAGAUAUCAGGAGGAACACCGAUGGCGAAGGCAGGUCUCUGGGCCACUACUGACGCUGAGAAGCGAAAGCAUGGGGAGCGAACAGG